rnacentral:rRNA from 1 species
UCGAGAAUCAUUCGCAAUGGGCGCAAGCCUGACGGUGCGACGUCGCGUGGAGGAUGAAGGUCUUCGGAUUGUAAACUCCUGUCAUGUGGGAUAAAUGGCCAGGGCAUGAAUAGUGCCUUGGAAUGAUAGUACCACAGGAGGAAGGGACAGCUAACUCUGUGCCAGCAGCCGCGGUAAUUCAGAGGUCCCGAGCGUUGUUCGGAUUUACUGGGCGUAAAGGGAGCGUAGGCGGUUUGGUGUGUCGAAUGUGAAAGCCCACAACUCAACUGUGGAAUGGCAUUCGAUACUACUGAGCUAGAGUACUGGAGAGGAGAGCGGAAUUCUUGGUGUAGCGGCGAAAUGCGUAGAUAUCAAGAGGAACACCGGUGGCGAAGGCGGCUCUCUGGACAGAUACUGACGCUGAGGCUCGAAAGUUAGGGGAGCAAACAG